GAUAGGUGGGAGGCUUUGAAGUGUGGACGCCAGUCUGCAUGGAGCCGACCUUGAAAUACCACCCUUUAAUGUUUGAUGUUCUAACGUUGACCCGUGAUCCGGGUUGCGGACAGUGUCUGGUGGGUAGUUUGACUGGGGCGGUCUCCUCCUAAAGAGUAACGGAGGAGCACGAAGGUUGGCUAAUCCUGGUCGGACAUCAGGAGGUUAGUGCAAUGGCAUAAGCCAGCUUGACUGCGAGCGUGACGGCGCGAGCAGGUGCGAAAGCAGGUCAUAGUGAUCCGGUGGUUCUGAAUGGAAGGGCCAUCGCUCAACGGAUAAAAGGUACUCCGGGGAUAACAGGCUGAUACCGCCCAAGAGUUCAUAUCGACGGCGGUGUUUGGCACCUCGAUGUCGGCUCAUCACAUCCUGGGGCUGAAGUAGGUCCCAAGGGUAUGGCUGUUCGCCAUUUAAAGUGGUACGCGAGCUGGGUUUAGAACGUCGUGAGACAGUUCGGUCCCUAUCUGCCGUGGGCGCUGGAGAACUGAGGGGGGCUGCUCCUAGUACGAGAGGACCGGAGUGGACGCAUCACUGGUGUUCGGGUUGUCAUGCCAAUGGCACUGCCCGGUAGCUAAAUGCGGAAGAGAUAAGUGCUGAAAGCAUCUAAGCACGAAACUUGCC
rnacentral:rRNA from 1 species